rnacentral:misc_RNA from 1 species
GAUGAAGAACGCAGCGAAAUGCGAUACUUGGUGUGAAUUGCAGAAUCCCGUGAACCAUCGAGUCUUUGAACGCAAGUUGCGCCUCAAGCCAUUAGGUUGAGGGCACGUCUGCCUGGGCGUCACAUAUCGUUGCCUGAUGCCAGUUUCCUCGUGAUGGGUGACUGUGCAGGGCGAAUGAUGGCUUCCCGUGAGCAUUGUUGCCUCAUGGUUGGUUGAAAAUUGAGUCCUUGGUAGGGAGCGCCGUGAUAGAUGGUGGUUGAGUGACGAACGAGACCCAAUCAUGUGAGACCCCUACCGAAUUUGGCCUUCAUGACCCAAAUGCGUCUUUGGAACGCUCAUGACGAGACCUCAGGUCAGGCGGGGCUACCCGCUGAGUUUAAGCAUAUCAAUAAGCGGAGGA